UCUUUAUUUUUACUACAUUUCUACAUUGUAGAGUGAUAGUGAAGACAACUAUGAAAUAAGUGGGAAAUCGUGUUGGUUUUGAAUGUAUUUCCAUUCCUGCGAGCAGGGCACGCACAUUCAUAUGCCCUUUUCUUAGGACCCCCAAAAUCUCACUUCCUUCUACAUUUUAUUACGAUUUCCUCGCGCGAAUAACAACGAAGCAACAGCUGGCGACUUUCUAACCUCAAGGUGACUGAACUGUUGCUUUUUCGGAAUUGUUGUACACUGUGAUCGAGACGAAUGACCUGUUUAAUUACGAUAACAAUGAGUGUUUGUCCAGGUUUUAGACAUUUUGAUGCUCAUCAACCUCUGAAUGACAAGUUCGUAAAUUAAGUCUGUCACACUUAAUUUGGCCUCUCGCGAGCUCGACUAAUUUUACUCCUGUUAGUGCUAGAUAACUAACGCGCGCUAGCUAGCUAGCUAAGCUAUUUAUUUGCUGGCUAAAGGAAUAAGCUAAUGUUGGAGGUCUUAUAAGGUUUAUCAUGUGAAAAGGAGAUUGAGAAGACUUCAUUAAGUUUGUAGACGUCAAUGGACGAAAGACGGACCUUGCUGUCAAGGCCUAUGAGGCUACUGAUGACUGUGGCUGGCUGCUGACGGGCUGGUGCUGGGGCUGGCUGAGGGUCGAUCUCAUCCUCUUCUUACAACUCACCGACUAAAUUGACAGAUACAUGUUCCUCAUAUUCUGAAAAGUCUUAAUCUUCCAAAGGGGAAGACGCUCCUUCCACACUAGCUUCUCGCUGCAAUUUUUUUUUCUAAGGCCCUCUGAGCAGAGAUUAUUUUUGCUAUACUGAUUGUGGUAAGGAGCCACACAUACAAAGCUAUUUAUUUGUUGUGUCCCUCCCCCAAUCUACACCCCCAAUCUACACCUGGCUGGGGUAGAGUGUGGGGAAAUACAGAUCUUUUUUUUCACACACUACAAAGGGUUAUGGAGUGUGAGACAGGUUAUUGGUGCUCUUUUCUGUCUCCCUAUGUUGAAACAGCAGGCCCAGGGAGGAGGAAGACAGAGUGAAGGCACACAGCAAACCUUUUUGUUUAAUUUUUACUUGUUUUCACCUACACACUUUUCCACACUUUUAUUACCCAGUGGACCCAAACACCACAUAUGUAAUAUAAAUGUGUAGGGGGGUGCACUAAAUGUAUAAUGGCGCCAGAGGGGAUGGCUGCUGUUUUAUGGGCUCUUAACCAACCAUGCUAUUUUGUAUUUUUUUUCUCACAAUGUUUGUAACUUAUUUUGUAUAUAAUGUUGCUGCUUCCGUCUCUUAGACCGAAAACAGCUUCUGAACAUCAAAACAGCGAUUACUCACUUUGAAUUUUUCUUUAAUGAGUCGGACGAGAGGGAUUUACUCCAGACACCCGAGCAGGCCCUCAUCACCAUCAUUCGCAGGAGAAAGAGACAGAGGUUUCGCGGAAGGAGAUCGGGGUGCCUUGUGAGGAUCUGGCGACAAGUGGCUAAUCUGCCAUCCCCUUUGCCAUCGAGUCCUGGCUGAAUGACGACAUGAAUAACAUACAGCUGGCUGGAUAGAACAUUAGCCUCUGGUAAGACAAAGGGUACAUUUGUAAACAACAACUGGUGCACAGUAUCUAAGGAAUUCUCAAGGUUUUGCUCACCUGAGGUAGUGUGGUAUAGAGCCUAUCAUGAGAUACUCUAUCUACCUAGAGUUUUCAUCUAUAUUCUUCAUAGCUGUCUUUACCGCCACAAUCCAAUGCUGGCACUAAGACUGCACUCAAUGAGCUGUAUACGGUCAUAAGAAAACAGGAAAACGUUCAUCCAGAGGCGGCACUUCUAGUGGCCGGGAACUUUAAUGAGGGAAAUUUAAAUCCGUUUUACCUCAUUUCUACCAGCAUGUUAAAUGUGCAACCAGAGGG